UAACACCUAAUAUUAUCACUCACUUAUAUUAUAUUAACUCAUAAUAUUUGCAGAAAAGCCAUCAGCAUGAAAUUUUGAAAAAUCAAUUUCUAACACAAUUCAUGAUUUUUUUCUAAAAUGUAAAAAGACUCAAUUUUUAAAAAUGUUCUUAAGGCCCUCAAAUGACUAUUAACUUGGCUCAGAAUUAUCCAUCUUGAGCAUAUUUGGAUUCUUUCCAGCCUUUCCAACCCUUCCCCAAAACUAAAUUCAUGCAUAGGGGAUCGGAAGAGCACAGGUCU